CCAAAUCAGCAUGGCCUUUUGAUGCCCUGGGCUGCACACGUGGUACAAUGGGACCGACAAUGGGAAGCUAAAGAGUAAUCUGGAGCAAAUACCUAUCAAACGGUCUCUCAAUUCGGAUUGAGGUCUGAAACCCGACCUCAUGAAGCCGGAAUCGCUAGUAACCGCAGAUCAGCCACGCUGCGGUGAAUAUGUCCCUGGGUCUU
rnacentral:rRNA from 1 species